rnacentral:lncRNA from 1 species
GUCUUCUUUAAUUUUGUUCAACAAUGUUUUACAAUUUUCAGAACACAAACUCUCACAUUGCUACAUUCAUUCCUAAGAAUUUUAUUGAUACUAUCAGAAAUGGAAUUGUUUUCUUAAUUGCACUAUCAGAAGAUUUGUCAAAAGUGUAUAGAGGUACAGUUGAUUUCUUUCAUUUAUUCUAAUAUUUUGUAGAGGAUAAAUUAACAGCAUGUUUUUCUGUGUAAGAUCUUAUCUUCAAAUAGAGAUAAUUUAACUUUCUUUCAACUCAACCUUUUAGGUCUUUUUCUUACCUAAUUGCCCUGGCUAGAACAUCUAGUACAAAGUUUUAUAGAAAUGAUAGGGUGAAUAUGCUUUUCUUAUUUCUCAUUUUAAGGAGAAAACAUUCAGUUUUUAUGCUGUUUAUCAGGUUGAUGAAGCUCCCUUCUAUUCAUAGUUUAUUCUGUAUUUUUAUCUUAGAAAGAUGUUGGAUUUUGCCAAAUGCUUUUUCUGCAUCUAUGAUUGUGUGUGUUCUUUGUCUCUUUUUCCAUAAUAUGAGGUAUUAUAUUAAAUUGGCUUUCAGAUGUUAAAUCAACUUUGCUCUCCUAGAAUGAGUUAUAUUGGCUUUAUCUGUUUCUUUUAUCUUUUACAAGUUUUUUGCUUGUUUUGUUUGGUUUUCUGAAACAAGUGAAUCAACUUGUCUGAUGUCAAAUUAGUUGUAGAAUGAUCAUGGGAUCAGAGAGGAUUAAGAAAUUUCCAAGUUUUCUAGAUUCAGCCUGUGAAUACAAAUUUCAACUAAGAAUGAAUGUGUUCUUGCAUUGUAAUUUGGUCAUAAAUAGACAGUGUCUAAUGAUUUGUCUUUAUAUGGUUAAACAAUGCUGGUUAGCUAGCAUUUACCAAAGAGGAAAAGCCUCUUGACACCCUGUGUUGAUGGUAGAAUGGUGAAUCCUGUCGGGGUUAGAUGAAUGCUUUGAAAAGGAGCCUGGAAUCUAAUGAGAGUUUUCCUGAAUUUACAAGUUUAUGAAAUCAGAAUUGGAAGGACAAAUUAUACCAGUUUACUAGAUUAACAUGGACCUCUGAAGAAGAAGAAGAGGCCUAAAGAAUAGAGCCAUAAAGAGAUAGAUUUUGAUAUCUAGGGAAGAGGUUGAGGGUGUGGGGAAAAGGAUUAAAUUUGAGCCUAGAAUUUAAAAUAAAGUAGGGCCAGGGAUGUAACUCAACUAUAGAGUUCUUGCCUAGUAUGUGUGAGGUUCUGGAUUUGAUCCCAGAACCAUAAAAGUAAAUAAAUGAAAAAAAAAAUAGAGUAGAUGGCAGGCAUUUCAAUUGAAAAAUUAUUGAAUAAGAAUGAACAUUUUACACUAUAUAACUGUUUCAUUUCUUUAUUUUCCUUAAAUUUCCCAUAGACUUUCCCUCAUCCUCAUUCUCAAUUGGUGAAGAUGCAUUCUUUCUCUAUACUGAAAAAACAAGUAGUAAAAAGAAUUUCCACAAGCUCCCACCAUCAUAAUUAUCUACCCACUUACUUGCAUGUAUUCCUAUUAAUGUGGGGAAUUGUUUGUUCUUCAGUCUUAAGUCUGCCCUAACUUGUGGCUAGAUCUAGUUCCUACCUAUUCAAGGACAUUGCCUCAGCAUUUUUUCUUUUUUACGCAUCAUUAAUUUUUCCCCAUUAGAAUAUUCCUAUCAGUACACAAGACUGUUGUAAUUUCUGCCAUCUUAAAAACCAGCCAACUAAAAGAGAGAGAGAGAAAGAAACAACAACAACCAUUUGUUAUCCCAUAGCCCCUUUCAGCUACCACCAAACUUUUGUGCUCCCUGUUAUAACAAAACUUCUUGGGGGUGGGGUUAUGGCUCAGUGGUAGAGCACUUGCCUAGCACGUGUGAGUUUGAUCCUCAGCACCACAUAAAAAUAAAUCCAAUCCAAUAUUUUAAAAAACUCCUUGAGUGUCUAUACUUACUGCUCCUAUUUUCCUUACGUUCUGUCAUGAAUACAUUUUCUUAAGACAUUAACCUUUAUCUCUGUACUGAAAAUAUUCUUUACAAAGUCACCAGUGACUUCCACAUUGCUAAAUCCAGUGGUCAUUUUUCAUGCCUCAUCUAACUUGACCUUUCAACAGAAUCAUCCCUACUUCAUCCAUCUUUUCUUUUUUAUGUAUACUUUUUCACCUGUUUUCUCUACCACCAAAGCUUUGAUUUUUUUGGUUUUUUUUUUUUUUUUCCCCAAAUUCAACUGGGCAUUGCUUCUUAGUUUCCUUUGGUGUUUUUCCCUCCAUCUCUUCUCUUUCAGUAUUAGAGUGUCUCAAGGGUCAGUCCUUGGACUUCUUUUCUGUUUUCCUUUUCCUUUGCUCUUUUGGUCAUCUUUUCUAGUCUUAAUCGUAAAUAUCAUCUACAUACUGAUAACUCUGAAAUUUAUUUCUGUGGUUCUAACUUCUCUCCUAAAUCCAUAUUCAUAAUCCUUACUACCUAGUUGAUAUUUCCACAUGGUUGGUUUUCCUCAGAUUUGCUCUUCCCUAAAUCAGUAAAUAGCAACUUUAUCUUUCUAGUUAUUGAGGCCCCAAACCUUAUGGAAAUUAUUGACUUCUUUUUCUUUCCUUCUUUCUUCGUCACUCCAUCAGCAAAUUAUGUCAGCAAUACCUUCAAAGUAUAUCUGAAAUUAAUAUUAUUUCUACUGACAGAUGCCUCAUUCAAACCACCAUCAUUUCUCUCAUGCGUUAUUGUAAGAAUUUUCUAAGUAAUCUCCCUGCUUGCAUAUUGCACAUUUUCUCAAUACAGCAGCUAAACUUAGUACAUCAAAAACCAACUUCUACCCUUUACACACAUGGCAUCAAUCAAAUGAAUUAACAAAACAUGUUUUUUACUGUAGUCUUUCCAUCGAGUAAAUGACAACCUUAUCCUCUAUUUCUUUUGGUCAAAAAAAUGUGAAGUAAGCCGCAUUCUUGACUUUCUUAUGCAACUCUUAUUCAGUCCUUAUUGACUCUACCUUGAAAAGACUCAAAAUACAACUUUUUGGUGCUUGCCCAACUACAGCUUUGGUCUAAGUCAUUGUGUCUCACCUGAGUAGUUAUUUCAGGAGCCUCAUAGUUCAUUUUCUUGUUUUCUAUACUUGCCCCAUAUAGAUAGUUCUAAGCACAGGAGCCAGAGUAGUUCUUUCAAAAUAAAUAAGAUUAUGGCAUUCCUCUGCUCAAAGACUGCUUUGGCUACUCAUUUUACUAAGAAAAAGCUGUAGUCUUUACAAUGUCACACAAUGCCCUACAAAGUCUAAUCCUGAUUACUCCUGAGGCCUUGUCUCCUAGUGCUUUCUUCCUUGCUUGCUCAGUUCUAUCACAUUCUGGGGACACUUUUGCCUCAAGGCUUUCCCAUUUGCUGUUUGCUAUGCCUGAAGAUGUUUCUCCCAGAGAUAAUAUUUGACCUUCUUCCUCCUCCAAGUUUUUGCUUGAAUGUACUUCAGAAGGCCUCCCUAACCAUCCUAUUUUAAAAUGCAGUCUUUCCAUUCACCUACCUUAUACAGGUACUCCCUAUUCCUUUUCUUACUUUUUUUUUCAUGAUACUUAUAGCUGUGUAGCGUACUAUUUGUUUUACUUAACUGAAAUAACAAAGUUGUUCCCCCCAUUUCUUGUUUCAUUCUUUUACAGCAUGAUGCCCAAUGUGGAACGUAAUUACAAAUAUUGAGCUGUGUGAUAAGAGGAGCUAGUGCUUAAGUACAAAUGGGAGACAUGAUUCUUUUGUUUUAAGUAAAUACUUGAACACAACUCAGUUCCCACCAGGGUCUGAACUCUAGGUCUGCAUAGCAGAGCUGCCUUUCCAGUGGACCUGUCUUGCUUGUGGACCCUCCUAGUAAUCAAUACAUGGAAUCGGGGUGCCAGUGGUCAAUGUGAUCACAAGGCUCUUUCCUAGAGCCUUCUCUAACACUCUGUAGACAUGAUCUGUCUAGGACAAAGACAAUUUAAUAAAUAUUCUACAGUUAACUAUUCUACAUGAUUCUUUUGGUUACUAUGAACAAAUUUGUCUUCAAAAAUUCUAAAUAAUUCUGUAUGACUAGUAGUUUCUCCUAAUGUUUGUGAUCCUCUGAAAAGUCAUUAGAAAUAAUUUUGCUUUGUUUUUCAUUCCCUCAUUGCCAUGUGAUUUGGGGCAAAUAAUUUCUCUGGGCAACAGUUUCUCCUAAAUAAGAGGCUUAUACCAAGCAACCUCCAUUUCCCAUAAAGUUCUAACAUCCUAUGAAUUUAUUAGCUAUGUUUCAUACUUUUGACCUCAUGCUAAGGUGUUUUCAGUUCAUUUGCUUUUUCUAAAGUAUGGACUACUAGUAGGUUUUACUUGUGGAUAGUGAAAAAAGAAUAGAAAAAGUUCAUUCUUCUCUACUGUGACUUCAACAGUGAUAGUGGAGAGUAGAUGCAAGUUCUAUAGGAGAAAGUGGAAAGGAAGGCAGAGCAGAAGAGUAUGGAAGGGUAUAGGCAUGAAGCUAGCAAGAAAGAAACAACCCCAUGAAAAUAUAGCUCAAACUCUUACCCAGAAAAUUAAUUUCCAAAUUCCAUUCUAAGACAUGAAACUCUGUAUGUGAUAGAGGCAAAUUCAGUAGUAUAGCAGUAACGGGAUAUUCAUGUACCAAUUUUCCUGUAAUAACAACCAUCAGAUACAUAUAUGACAUGUUCUUCUAGCUAGUCCAACCUGAAUGAGCUUGUUCUAGUUGCUUUGAUUUAGGAAACUUCCAUGUCCUCUCCCUUGCAUUGUUUCAGUAUAUUACUUAAUUAUCUAGGCCUCACCCUUACCUGUUUAGUUCUUUUAUGAUGGGCAGGAAUAAGAUUGUCAACAACUUUAUUGACUACAUGCUAAGUCUAGAAACUGCUGCUUUCAUAUUUUCUAUCCAGUUGAGAUAAGAUACAGUAGUGUGUGUUAUUUUUCUAUAUUUACUUAUAUUUUGCUUUUAGAGUAGAAUAUUUCCUGUAGUUUAUCUCUUAAGAAUAGUAAACAUAAUUUGCUUUGUGUCUGAUCAUAAGCAUUUUUUUCAUUGUUCUCAGACAAAAAGGAUUUGAGAGAUUUGGAAAUAUUAUAAAGGAAAAUAAAAACAAAUGUUCUCCAGGCAUGCUGAACCCUUUAUGCUUUUUCACAGACUUUAAAUAUGUUGGUUCAUAUUUUUAAAAUCUAACUUAAAGUAGGAAUGAAUGGUUCAACUCUGGUCUGCUCAGUAUUGCUGACCAUUUUUAGAGGGGUAUGCCAAGGAGAAGAAAGAUCGAUUCUUUUUGAAAGGCAGUUUAGUGUUAUACCACUUAAGUCACCCUUUCCAGGCCUCAGGAUGAGAUCACUCUGACUAGAAGUUAUUCAUGCCCUAGGUCCACCCCCAGUGAUCAUUAAUGGAUGAACCUAUUAGACUAAGAAAUUAUUGGAACCCAGCAAUCCAUUAUAGCAUCACUUAAAGAGAGAAGCAGAUGUUGUGUGCCUCCUGACAUGACACAAUGUCAAUCAUGCAAUUCCUUCGAAGAAAUAUUUUUGCCAAAAAGAAGUUGUAACUAAAUGUUAUCAAGCCUUUGAGCCUUUCUCAUCUUGAUCCUGGGAGAAAAUUAAGCCCUAAUGCUCUAGGGAGUCCAGUUUAUGUUGUAAAUUAACUUUUCUUCUAUUCAUCUAGAUUGGCACUAGUUAUGUACCGUUCCUUGAGUCGAUUGAGAAAAUAUUCACUCACAUCAUUUUCUGGUCUGGGUGUUGACAAUAUGUAAAGAGAAAAGCCACCUUGAGGAUCCCAUUUAUACCAUAAGGAUACAGAAAUCCAAAACAUGGAUCAUUCGGUAGGAAAACUGACAGUUUCUUCAGCAAGCUAAUGGCUUGAAUUUUAAAAAUGGGUAGAUGGUUCUAGAAUAAAACAGAUUUAUAAAGAUGAUGACCAGAAAAUAUAACAUAUGGACCUUGCUUGGAUCCUGAUGUGAGCAGCCUGAAAAAGGUAACUUUGAAGCAAUCAGGGAAAUUUGAGUAGCAUCUCUACAUUAUUCAUUUUGUUAGUUGUGGUGAUGGCAUUACAGUUAUAUAUAAGAAAAGAUCUUUAUAAAGAUAGAUAUUACAGUAUAUAGAACUACAAUAAAAUUAUGUCUUAAGAUUUCCUUUAAUUCAAUAAAAUGAAAUAAAAAAGAUAUGUAGUAAGUAUAGCCAAGGUUUGAUAAUAAUGAAUCCUGAUGGCAGUUUUGUGGGGAUACUAUUCACUUUAUUUUGUGUGUGUUUGAAUUUUUUUAUAUAUAUUUUUUAGUUGUAGAUGGGCACAAUAUUUUUAUUUUUCAUUUAUUUAUUUAUGUGGUGCUGAGGAUUGAACCAGGGCCUCAUACUUUCGAGGCAAGUGCUUUACCACUGAGCUACAACCCCAGCCCCAUGUUUGAAUUUUUUAAAGUAAUUUCCUUAAAAAAAAAAAAAAAAAAAAUGAAGCCAGGUCUCAAUGAAUUUGACAUAAGUUUCCUAUGUACAUAUAUAUGAAUACAUCACAGUGAAUCCCAUCAUCCUGUAUAUACACAAAAAUGGGUUCUUAAUUAGACUAAGAUAUGUUCCAUGCUUACAUAAUCAUAUCAAAAUGGAUUCUACUGUCAUGUAUAACUAAAAAAAAAAAAAAAAAUUAAAGCCCUUAAGCCUAAAAUUACCAUUGUGAUUGUUCCUCUCUCCAUUCCCCCAAAUAGGAGGUUUAGAUGGGGAAAUAGUUUCCCUCUGUUCUGGAACUUCUGACAUAGUUAGGCAGUAAGUAGAAUCUAGAGAUUACAACAUUUUGUGGCCUUUCUACGAAAUAGACUAAUUAAAAAUAGAAAUUAGUUUCAUUCCAGAGAUCAGGUCUGUACCAAGGCUGCCUGUCAUAGAUCACACCCUAAGUAAUCAGGUAGGCACUCUGUCACCUGGUUUUAUGAAAUAUAUCUGGUGAUAUACUUCCCAGGCCUAUAAAAGUUGAGAAAUCAAGAGAUGCAACAUCAUGGAGAACAUUAAGGGAGAAAUGAUGAAAAAGAUAACAUGAUAAUUUAGUAAAAGCAGCUUUGAAAUAAUUUGGAUGAAAUAGAAGUAAGAGAGAAUAUUUUUGUGGUUCAAUUGAGGGGAGGUAAAAAUCAUUUACAUUUCUGUCUUUCCUCUGAAUAGAGUCACCAGAGAUUGAAAAAUUGUUCUUUCACAUCAAAGUUUUUUCUUGUUCUGCCUUCAAAGGCUCUACUGCUAUGUGCACUACUUUAUGCAGUGGUCACAGUUAAAACCUUGUCUCAACCAUAUAUUAGCUGUGCGACUUUAAGCCAGUUAUUGAAGUUCUCAACUCAGUUACAUCAUCUGCAAAAUGGGCAAAAUAAUAGUCUUAUAGAUUAUAAGAAUUCAGUGAGAGUGUGGAUACAGUGGUUUGCAUAGUGCCUAGCACAUGGUAAGUACAGUCAAUGUUAGAUGCUAACAUCAGAAUUACCAUCUUCAUUAUCAUCAUCACCACAUUGUAUAUCCUCUUUUAUAUACAUGUGAAUAUUCAUAAUUUGUUCUUUUUAGUUGUUCUUUAAGAAUUCAAGAGACAAGGCCUUCUUCCCUUAUAUUGACUCUACACAGAAUUUUUGACAUUUCAGAUAUGUUUGCUGGUAAUGAGCCAAGUAAGCAUAGAGACACCAUUUGGCCUCUCGUCAUAGUACUACCUAAGAGAAGUUUUCUUAGUUUCCCUAGGUUAUGAUGACAUAUUUGAUUUGCAUUUUGUUAAUUAAUUUUAUUCAUUGUUUCAUCCUACACUAGACUACUAAAACUAGGUUUUUUUGAAGGUGGAAGAUAAAGGGAAGAGAAAGUUUGCGGAAUAGAUGGGUGUGCUAUUUAAAUUGCAAAUCAGUAUGAUUUCUCUGUUGCUCAAUCUAAGGGUUAGAUGAUGCCUAUGUUUAAAUCCUUCCUGGUUCAAAGCUGUAGAUACCCUCAUCUGGUAAGAUCCACCCACCUUAUCAUUGCCCAAAGGUAAGUUCUGCCUGCCCUGUUUUCCCAGGUGGGCACAGUGUUUUCUCUAACCAGUACAUUUUUUCUGUCACUGAUUAGGACUUUAUAUCCUACACAUAAAACUUGACUAUGGUACAGCCAUAUUUUAGGGCUUAUGCCCAGGUAGUGUUUUUCCACAGAGCUACAAUACCUUGUUCUCACCUUAUAAGUAACUUUGGUUAGGAAUAGUAGGUGAAGGGGGACCAGAAACAGCUGAGACUGGGAGGGGGAUAACACAGGCACAAGGCAAGGAGCAGAACUGAGACUGAGAUUAACAAUAGAAAAUCAAAGGAAAGCUAGACACGGUGGUUCAUGCCUAUAAUUCUAGAAGCUUGGGAGGACAAGGCAGGAAGAUCGCAGGUUCUAGGCCAGUCUCAGCAAUUUAGCAAUUUGACUCUACACAGAAUUCUUAACAACACUUAAAAACAAACAAACAAACUCAAAACUUAAAAAGAAAAAAAAAGGUACAGGGAUAUAGUUCAGUGGUAAAGUGCCACUGAAUUAACUGAUUAACCCUGAUCAAUCCCUGACUAACCCCCUCUCCCCCCACAAAAAACAAAUAAGAUCAAAGAAGAAGUAGAAUCAGCAGUUUAGCUAAGCAUGGGUCUCUGAAAGCAUUGGUGGUGUUUGUUAUUAGUCUAGAAGAUUAAUGUAUAGUGACUCAGAAUAGAAAAUCCUUUUCAUUAAGGAAUGUGGUCUGACACAGGUAAACAGUGAUAGCUGGAGACUUUGUUGAUGAUCUGUAAAUAUGUAUUUUUCUGUUUUCCAUUUUCUGAAUCCCUUACCUACUUCUUGACCACUGAUGAAAUGUAAAUAUAUAGAGGAAGAGCUGUUAAUUUCAGUUUGAGUCCAAAAGUAAGAUGCAAUUGAAUCUAUAUCACUACAUACCUGGCCCACUGAGGCAGCAGAGGAAGGGAUUUGUUUAGGCUGUGGUACGGUUCUGCUAUAUGAUAUACAGGAAGUAGAUUGUGAUGCUCAUCUCAGGACAUAUUGCUUUGAGUUGAUGAACCACUUGUCCCAGUUACUGUCUCACCUCAUGCUUCUGGGUUUGCCAGGAGCCUUUACUCAACUGGAUAGUUGGGACAUAAGCCCAGGUAGAAAGACAUAUAGCUGAUUGGCUACAGUUGGGUAUGGCCCCUACAAAAGAAUUGUAGCCUCAUUUGGGAUGCCAGGGAGCAGGGUGACAGCAUUUAGGUCAGUUGGCAGUAGUGUCCCAUUAGGAUUAACAGGGCUUUUAUUUGCCUUAAAUUCCUUGGAAUUCUUAGUCUUAAAAGCCUACUCACCCUUAAAGCAAAGUACUACGACUGCCAUCUCUAUGUAAAUUCACCUGGAUUUUCUAGAUCAGAAGCAAUUAUUUCUGUCCAAUCAUAGUAUUCUACUUGUAAUAAUUUAGCACAUAGGUUUUCUGCCCUACAUGAUAAUUGAUCAUAAAUGUUAGAAGAUAAUUUUCAGGAAAAGGUUAAAUAUUACGACACAGUAAAAGAACAUGUAUUAAGCUGAGCAUGAUGGUGCACACCAGGAUUCCCAGUGAUUUGGAGGCUGAGGCAGGAGGAUCUCAAGUUCAGCUUCACCAUCUUAGUGCGGCUCUAAGCAAUUUAGCAAAAUCCUGCUUCUAAAUAAAAAGAAAUAAAAAGGGCUGGGGAUGUGGCUCAGUAGUUCAAUCUCCAGUACCAAACAAACAAACAAACAAAAUGAACAUGUGUUAAAAGAGUUUAGUUCAUGAGGAAAACAAUAAGUAGAUAUUAUAACUGAUUUCAAGAAAAAGAAAAAUUUUAUGGAUAAAGGAAUGUUGAAUGUGCAACUGGAAGCGAAACUGGUCUUUUCUACAGGUUUCUAAAAUUUUCAGGUUUGUAAAAUAGUUCAAAGAGAAUACAGGCUAAAGUCAGAUGGCUUUGGAGGAGUGUCCUCUAGACAGUGCAUAAUUUUUCACAGAAACAAAACUUUUCUGCAGCCUCCCCUUUUUGAUUAAAAAUAAUUACUCCUCUUACAGCCAGGUAUGGUGAUACACACUUAUAGCCCCAACUACUUGGGAGGCUGAUGCAGGAGGAUCUUGGGUUCUAGAUGACCCUGGGCAGCAUAGCAAGACUGUGUUUCAAUAAAAAAAGAAAAAAGAGACUACUCUUAAUCACAAAGUAAGGCUGGUCUCCUUAGGUUGGACCUGAUUAUUUCUAUAGGUGCAGUUAAAGUGUCUUUUGCUGGAAGUAACUGGGUUUAUAGGUGUGUGCCAUCACACCUGGCUUCAGCUUUGAUUUUAAUAUACUUGUAAAUUGCACUGUAUUCACUCAUAGUUCAUAUGAUUUCAAUCUGACUAGAUUUUUAAACUUGAGAUGUUUUUGCACCUUAAAUUUUAUUCUGUGCAAUAGACAAUGACUUGAUAAGAACUUUGAAAGAAACUGUUGUAUUUUCUGUUAUUUUAGAGUUGCCUAGGCCUAUCUGUCUCUCUCUGGCUGAAGUUUGUUGUUAUAAACUGGAAAGAAUCUGUUUCUAUUCAUUAAUAGGAACCAGGAAAAAGGAUCAAAUAAAAGUGCUCUGAAAAAAGAAAUUACUAGGGCAUAUUUUGCACACUUUAGCAUACCACAAACACUGAAAUGUUUAAUUUAAUUCUAAAGAAGGGAAUAAUUAGGCCCCAAAAUAAGAGUUUCUAAGAAGGUAGACCUAGAAUCAGGAAUCUUGAUCCAGGAAUUUCAGUCAUGCACUUAAUUCCUAAGUCUUGCAACCUUUAUGUAGUGUACAGCAAGGAUUGUCAACAUUGUGCAAGGAGCCAGGUAUCUGAAGCCCAUGCUAGAGUUUUGUGGAACAAUUCUGGGAUGAAGAUUUUGCUGAGCCAUACAAAAUGAUAGGGUCAGAGUUUUCCCAGAUCUUCAUCCUGCCUUGCCUGCCUUUGCUGCCACAGGUAUCUAGGGGCAGCAGAAAUGUUUUCAGUUUUUAUUUUGAAGGCUGCUUUGCUAUUCAGACCUUUAAUCUUACUAGUAAAACUCUCCCUGGAAGACCUCCCAAUUUUUGCUUGUGAAAGAGAGUCGCAUACAUGCUUUUGAGUUUUAAACCCAAUUUCCAGUUUUCAUUUGUUCAUCCUGUUCUCCCUGUUGCCUUCUUUUUGCCUCACAACAUUACAAUCAGACUGUAUUCCCUAUUGUAGACACAUGACUGGGGCAGUGUAAGGCAGAGAAGCAAGCCCACAACAUCUGAAGCUUAAUGGGCCAUAGUGACAGAAGUUGAUCCCAGGUGCUAAGAAGAAGUCUGAUUCUACAAAUGGAGUGGCCCCUGGGGAAAGCUAGUAUCUUUCUAUCACAUAGGUUGUGUGAUUCUGGCAUACCUUUUUCCCUGGCAAGUUAAAUUCCCUUAUCUGAGGAAUGGGGAGGAGUAUUAUCUCAGAGGUACAGAGGAAGGGGAAAGUAUAACUCUAUUGGAGAAGAAUAGAGUUGUUGUGUGUCGAAGAUGAAUGGAUAAAGAAAAUGUAUGUGUACACAAUGUAGUCUUAUUCAGCCAUAAAGACAAAUGAAAUUAUGCCAUUUGUAAUUGAAAAUGAAUGAAAAAUGAAUGGAACUGGAGAGCAUCGUGUUAAGUAAAAUAAGCCAAACCCAAAAAGACAAAUAUGUUUUCUCCCAUGUGGAAGGUAAAGGGGAAUCAAAUAAAAAAGGAGGAAUUGGAGGGGAACAGUAGGAGGAAAAUGGGAAGGGUAAGGGGAGGUUUGGGGGGUAAUAUUGACCAAAUUGUGUUAUAUGCAUGUAUAAAUAUAACACAAUGAAACCCACUACUCUGUAAUAUGCACCAAUAAAU